rnacentral:tRNA from 1 species
CGGGGCGUAGCGCAGAUGGUUAGCGCUUGCCUUGGGAGCAAGAGGUCCCCGGUUCGAGUCCGGGCGCCCCGA